GGAAGUAAAAGUCGUAACAAGGUUUCCGUAGGUGAACCUGCGGAAGGAUCAUUAAAUAAUUUGAUAAUUACAAAAUUAUCUUAUCUACUGUGAACUGUUUUAUUUAUGACAUAUAAGGGGAUGACUAUAUACUAUAAGGGUAGGUAUAUAGAAUGUUAACCUAGUCAUAAUCAAGCUUGAUGCUUGGUACCCAAUUAUUAUUUACCAAAAGAAUUCAGUUUUAAUAUUGUAACAUAGACCUAAAAAAUCUAUAAAACAACUUUUAACAAUGGAUCUCUUGGUUCUCGCAUCGAUGAAGAACGUAGCAAAGUGCGAUAACUAGUGUGAAUUGCAUAUUCAGUGAAUCAUCGAGUCUUUGAACGCAACUUGCACUCAUUGGUAUUCCAAUGAGUACGCCUGUUUCAGUAUCAAAAACAACCCUUAUUCAAAUAUUUUGUUUGAAUAGAUCUGAGCGUAACGAUAUCUUGAGACGCUUUAAAUCUACUAUGGCUAUUAAGUUUUAACUGCCUAUAUUUUUUUUAAUAUAAAAAAGAUAGAAAGCGACCGAAAUGGAUGGCCUCCAAAAUAACCUUUUAAACUUGAUCUGAAAUCAGGGUGGGAUUACCCGCUGAACUUAAGCAUAUCAAUAAGCGGAGGA
rnacentral:rRNA from 1 species